AGAGUUUGAUCCUGGCUCAGGACGAACGUUGGCGGCGUGCUUAACACAUGCAAGUCGAGCGGUUGAGAAGUGGGAGUUGAGAAGUUAGACGUGAGAGAAAGGUGAGUAACGCGUGGAUAAUCUGCCUGUAAGACAGGGAUAACGCCGGGAAACCGGUGCUAAUACCCGAUAAGCUCUUAGAUUCGCAUGGAUUGAAGAGAAAAGGUGGCCUCUUUACAAUGCUACCACUUACAGAUGAAUCCGCGUCCCAUUAGCCAGUUGGUGGGGUAAUGGCCUACCAAAGCGACGAUGGGUAGCCGGCCUGAGAGGGUGACCGGCCACACUGGAACUGAGAUACGGUCCAGACUCCUACGGGAGGCAGCAGUGGGGAAUCUUGCGCAAUGGGCGAAAGCCUGACGCAGCAACGCCGCGUGAGUGAUGAAGGCCUUCGGGUCGUAAAACUCUGUCCUAGGGGACGAUAAUGACGGUACCCUAGGAGGAAGCCCCGGCUAACUACGUGCCAGCAGCCGCGGUAAUACGUAGGGGGCGAGCGUUGUCCGGAAUUACUGGGCGUAAAGGGUGCGUAGGUGGCCUUUUAAGUUGGAUGUGAAGUUCGGGGCUCAACUCGGAGACUGCUCCUGAAACUGGUAGACUUGAGUGCAAGAGAGGGAAGUGGAAUUCCUAGUGUAGCGGUGAAAUGCGUAGAUAUUAGGAGGAACACCAGUGGCGAAGGCGACUCCCUGGACUGUAACUGACGCUGAGGCACGAAAGCGUGGGGAGCGAACAGGAUUAGAUACCCUGGUAGUCCACGCUGUAAACGAUGCUAGGUGUCGGGGGUAUCGACCCCCUCGGUGCCACAGCUAACGCAAUAAGCACUCCGCCUGGGGAGUACGGUCGCAAGACUGAAACUCAAAGGAAUUGACGGGGGCCCGCACAAGCGGUGGAGCAUGUGGUUUAAUUCGAAGCAACGCGAAGAACCUUACCAAGGUUUGACAUCCCCUUGACAGAUGCAGAGAUGUGUCCUCCCCUUCGGGGGCAAGGGAGACAGGUGGUGCAUGGUUGUCGUCAGCUCGUGUCGUGAGAUGUUGGGUUAAGUCCCGCAACGAGCGCAACCCUUACAGCUAGUUGCUACAUUAAGCUGGGCACUCUAAUGAGACUGCCGGUGAUAAACCGGAGGAAGGUGGGGAUGACGUCAAAUCAUCAUGCCCCUUAUAUCUUGGGCUACACACGUGCUACAAUGGUCGGUACAACGGGCAGCGAAAGAGUGAUCUGGAGCAAAUCCCAAUAAACCGAUCCCAGUUCGGAUUGUAGGCUGCAACUCGCCUACAUGAAGUUGGAGUUGCUAGUAAUCGCGAAUCAGAACGUCGCGGUGAAUGCGUUCCCGGGUCUUGUACACACCGCCCGUCACACCAUGGAAGUUGGUAAUACC
rnacentral:rRNA from 1 species